AUCAUGUCUUUAUUAAUUACUCGGUCUUAUCUAAUGCGACGGACACAUCAUUUUAGCAAAUGAUUCAAAAAAGUCAUGUCAUUGGUUGAUUUGGAAGUACAAGCUGAGGAAAGCUCACAAAGUAAGAAUGAAGUUGCAGGUCAAGAAAGGGGAGGUUUCUAUUUGCCUGUUUAGUUGAUGUCACGUUCUUUCGUCGAUAUUUAACAUGUAUGAGUUGCCAGUAGGAAGAAUUAGUCAUUGUUAGAAAGUUCACAUUUUUUUUUAUCAAGAAAAUAUCUUAAUUUUAUUAUUAGGACUAAUUAGUCAUUGUUAUAAAAUUCAACAUUAUUUUAUACUUUGUCUGAUUA